GGACGCCCGAGCGCGCUGCGUCUGCGCGGCGGCGAGGAUGACGUCAUGGCGCCGGGCCAUGCGGAAGGUGCGGAGCGGAGCGGGGCUCCGAGGUGGGUCCGGACCGGGCUGGGUCCGCCCCGCCCCCCCCCGCAGGGCUCCCCAGCCGGGCGGGGUCGGAACCGGAACCGGAACCAGAACCGGAUUUCCGGGAGGGGGAGGGGCCAGCAGGGCGCUGGGAGACCCCCCCCGAAUAGCAUGGGACCCGCUUCAAGCCCGGGCGGUGGGGCGGCCCCCCCCCGGCUCCAGCACCUCUGGGUGCCAAGCCUCGGGGGCGCAGGACAGCCUGGGAGUGUCCCCGACACAGAGUCUGCCUUUUGGGGGGCUCUGAGGUGAGGUGCCAGGAUGGCGAUGAGAGAGCAGCUGCUGCGAAUCCUGGAUGAUCUGACCAAGGAGGAGUUGGAGAAGUUCAAGUUUUACCUGCCCCGUGGGGGCACGGCUCCCCACAUAGGCCGUGGGAAGCUGGACGGCGCCUCCGGCAUCCAGGUGGCUGAGCUGCUGAUGCAGACGUACCCCCAGGAAGCGCUAGACAUCACCCACGAAGUGCUGCACAAGAUCCCAAGGCUGGACCUGGUCCAGGGCAGCCAGCUCCAGACAGGAGGACAAACUGGGAGCAGCGGCAACGAUAACGAUGCAAAUCACAGUGAGGCUGCAAAUAGCGGCGUCGGGGCAAGGGAGCCGCAGGCCCACGGGAAGCAGAGUCUGGUUUCAGAGCAGCAGCUGAUGAAGCUGGCAGGGAAAAUGGGCAAGACCUGGAGGCAGAUCGGCAUCGAGUUCCUGGGCCUGGAGAAUCAUUUUCUGGAGCAGAUCGAGGAGAACAAUCCUGGCAACACCAAACUGCGAGCUUUCAACAUGCUCUUGGAGUGGAGGAAACGAGCGAAGCAGGACGCCACUGCCAUCCACCUUUGCUCCAUUCUCUCCCAGGACGAGGUGCCCCUCCAGCCUGAGGCCCUCGACUGCCUCCAGGGCACAGGCAGGGCCUAAGGAGAUCUGGGGGGCUUAGUCCAGGGCAGCGGGUCUCAACCAAGGGUCUGUGAGCAGAGCCAUUGUUAACCACUCUGUGGCCCAGGGCAGGAAGCCGAAGACCUGCUGUGCAGGGCUGAAGCCUGGGGCUGUGAGCCCUGCCUCCGGGGCUGAAGCCAAAGCCUGAGCAACAUAGGUUGGCGUCGGACCCUGGGAAGUUCCCCUGCUUGCUAGCCUCGGCUUGUAUAUGCAGAAAAAUAGUUGUUGUGGAACUGGUGGGCCAAGGAGUUUUUAUAGCAUUGGGUGGGGUGGGGGGGAAUGGUGCUCAGAAAGAAAAAUGUUGAGAACCCCAGGUCCAGGGGAUGGAGUGGCCUUGUGGUCAAAGGACUAGCACAGUACUCUGGGGACCUUGAUUCAAUUGCCAGUGGUGCUUUAGUUUUGGGUUGUCCGAUAUCAGACAGACACAGACACACACACACACACACACACACACACACACACCCACCCACCCCCCGGGGCCUGGCUUGCAGAGAAGCUGAGCACCCACUGCUCCCGUUGAUCUUGGCUGGAGUGGAGGGUGCUCGGAAACCAGGCCGUGGGUGGUAGCCAGGAAUCAGUAGCCACUUUGGAAAAUGCUGGCCUCUGCCUGGUGCCUCAGUUUACCUACAUGUGCAAUGGGGAAAACAUGGCCAGAUUCUCCAAAGAGCUCAGUGUCCAGCAGCUCCCAUUACUUGCACGGGGAAGGUGGGGGAGGAGAGGAGUUGCUCAGGGGGCUGGAUAUACUUUGUUUAAAGCCACUUUCACUGCCAGCAGCCUCAAGUGCCACCGACUCAGGCCCCCGAUAUGUAUCUGGCUGCUUCUCUCAUCCAGCCUACCACCACUUGCUAGCUGGGGUGGGUCAGUCCAAGCAGGGGGCUCAGGACAGCCCCAGGGAAUGGAUUGGGGCGGGAGGAGACACCUGUGAUCUGGGGCAGCUAUAAAGUGGGAGACCCUGUGGAGACUGAGCUGGGCUCUUCCCCACUUACAAGGACAUCUCUCCACGAAGAACCUGGGGAUCUUCUGUCCCUGGGGGAGCCACUCCCCCAAUCUCUCCUUGGGGUCUCAUCUAGGCAGCUCUUUUUUAAAGACCAUUUUUACCAAGAAGCACCAUUGAAGCCUUUUUGUACUUGCAAGAAAUAAACGUCCUCAAAGCCAGCGCA
rnacentral:lncRNA from 1 species